GGCAAAAAAAAAAUUAAUAAAACAUCAAAAUUUCUUUUCCCCAAAUUGAGAACACGCUGCAAGGCUUUUCUGAAUAACACGCCAAAGAACACACUGAAGAACACGAUUAUCAGAUCUCACGAGAGUUGAAGAGCUACUUGCUGAAGAACAAGAUUUCAUUAUUUCUUGUUGAAAGGAUUUUGUUGGAAUAGGGUUUAUCUGGCAGUUAAAAUGUCAAUCUUUCAAGGAAGAGACUGAUGAGGGAUUUCAAGAGGUUACAACAGGAUCCUCCUGCGGGUACUAGUGGUGCUCCUCGAAUUUGUAAUUGAUGUUGUCAAUACAUUUCAGAGGUUUCUUUAUUAAAUAGCUCAAUUCAUGGGUUUCUUCCACAAAAUAGAAGUAGUGCUAUAUUUUACGAGACUAUGGUUUAUUUCGGUAGUGACUUAUGUCUUCUACAUCCGUUUUUUCCUGAUAAUACCUAUGGUGUUGACAAUGGUGGUAACCCACGAGUAAUUUCAAGCCUUUCUUUUGAGGAAUUUAAGGAGUUUCACAGAAAAUUUUACCAUCCAAGCAAUGCAAGAAUAUGAUUUUAUGGAGACGAUGACCCACAUGAACGUUUGCGGAUCAUAAGUGGUACUUAUUUGUCUGCCUCUUACAAUUUCAAAUGAACAUGAACAGUGUUAAUUCAUGUGGUUUGCCUAUACUAGGAAUCCUUCUUGAACAAUGCUUUUGCUCGAAUAUUCAUUACUCUUAUGUACAUUUUAGAUGUGUUAAAAGGACAUAUGGAUAUUACAAAAUCGUUGACAUUCCAAUCUCAGAAACUUUACCUACACCUAUCAGAUGCCUUAUUUUAUUUUAAUUGUUUUGCACAUAGCUCAACAACAUAUGGACAUCAUUACACAAAAUUUUAAAAAUUUGGGGGACAUGAAACGUUUUACAUUAUUUAUUUUGGGUAUCAUUUCUAGUACAACCAAGAAGCAUUUGUGACUUCCAAGGUAAUGGAAAACACGUUCCCAAUCUUCUACUUAGUUAUUACGUUCCCCUUUGUUAACUGUGUCCUUGGUUUUUUCCCUCUAUUUUAUCCCAGAUGUUAUUUUGGUAGUGCCAAUCAUCAGACCGUAUGUGUUCAGACAUUGUUUCAAUGUUCAUAUGUUUUUCUUUGAUUUGAGUCGUAUGAAAUUUACGAAAAAAAUAUAAUUGCUAUAUCACAUGUUUUCUUUCUGUACCUUUUUUGGAGCUUAUAUUCAUGUACUUUUCUAACUUUUGUUCUUUGUUCUCGGUUGGUAUUGAACUAUUGUUAUAUUUGGAUGAGUAUUGUAAUUAAAGUUCAUGAAAUAUGUGCUUUGAAUUUAGUUGUAGUACUUGUCUAUUGGUACAUCUAUUUGGCAUGUUUUACUAGUUAUAACUAAACUAAUUUCUUGAGGAGUUUUGAAUCCCUUUUCUUGAUUGAUUUGAUUUUUUUAGAAAAUUUAAAAUUUUCUACGGGCCUUUUAAACUAAUAAAUCUAUGAGUUGAUCAAGUUUUUGAGCUAGACUAAACAUCAUGAGCACUUAAAAUUAUAUUAUGCUUGCCUUCUUAACACUUUGUAUAGAAACAGAGGAUUAGUGGUGAGUUUUCUUCAGACAUGUAAUUUUUAUAUUGCGGAGAGUGUGACUCCACUGUCUUGUUUCAGGUAUGCCUUCUCCUUCUCCUCGUCCUCGUCCUCGUCCUCCGUCUUCUUCUAUUGCAAGCGAGAGUGUGAGGAGAU